rnacentral:rRNA from 1 species
UACGGGGGGGGCAAGCGUUGUUCGGAAUUACUGGGCGUAAAGGGCUCGUAGGCGGCCAACUAAGUCAUACGUGAAAUCCCUCGGCUUAACCGGGGAACUGCGUCUGAUACUGGAUGGCUUGAGUUCGGGAGAGGGAUGCGGAAUUCCAGGUGUAGCGGUGAAAUGCGUAGAUAUCUGGAGGAACACCGGUGGCGAAGGCGGCAUCCUGGACCGAUAUUGACGCUGAUGCGCGAAAGCCAGGGGAGCAAACGGG